AGUGAACGCUGGCGGCAGGCCUAAUACAUGCAAGUCGAACGGCAGCACAGCAGAGCUUGCUCUGUGGGUGGCGAGUGGCGGACGGGUGAGGAAUACAUGGGAAUCUGCCCAGUCGUGGGGGAUAACGUAUGGAAACGUACGCUAAUACCGCAUGCGCCCUAAGGGGGAAAGCCGGGGACCGCAAGGCCUGGCGCGAUUGGAUGAGCCCAUGUUCGAUUAGCUAGUUGGCGGGGUAAAGGCCCACCAAGGCGACGAUCGAUAGCUGGUCUGAGAGGAUGAUCAGCCACACUGGAACUGAGACACGGUCCAGACUCCUACGGGAGGCAGCAGUAGGGAAUAUUGGACAAUGGGGGCAACCCUGAUCCAGCCAUGCCGCGUGAGUGAAGAAGGCCCUCGGGUUGUAAAGCUCUUUUGUCCGGAAAGAAAAGCAAUCGGUUAAUACCCGGUUGUUCUGACGGUACCGGAAGAAUAAGCACCGGCUAACUUCGUGCCAGC
rnacentral:rRNA from 1 species